AAUUAAUGAACUUGUAAAAGUAUAUGUUUUGAAAACAUAAAAAAGAACUUAAAUUCUAUUAAUUU
rnacentral:tRNA from 1 species